ACCUCAGUGAGACACAAGUCCCAAAACUUGAUUGGACAAGACCUGUGACUCUGUGAUGUCACAGGCAUCUGUACAAGGUCUGCUUCCUCCAAGCCUUUUCUCUCUUUGCUCCAACCGUGGAGCACACUGCAUGAAAAGUGGGAUUUUCGGCAAUCAUUGGCACUGUAAAUUGCUUUGGAAGUUCAAGUUAACGACUGUUCGUAGGAAUUUACAGUCAGCACAGAAAACUGCCGAUAACUGCCUGGAAUUGAUGUGGAUUUUCAAUCCCUGGCAGUUUCAAGGUAAGAAAGUAAGAAAGCCCCCCCCCCCCAGGCCCUUGGACUGUGUGAGGUUUUCACAUGUAAAUGAGACAGAAAGACAGCUUCCACCAAGUCCCACCACAGACCUUGAGAAGAAACUGCUGGGUGCCAUCAGUGGGCUGUCUCGCCAGUUAAAUCAACACAUGACACAGUUCACGCAGUUUGCAGUUGAGGUGAGGCAGCAAAAGGCUGACAUCAAUGCCAGACUGAUUUCCCUGGAGGAGCACAGCCGAAACUGUUCUUCAGGAGAAGAGCCCACCAGGAAAAAAAGACGAGUGCACAAUCCAAAAAUUGCGGAAACGGUCCGGCGCCUUCACAACAGUGAAGGAAAUAACAGGCGUUAUGAACCGGAGCAAGGACUGAGCUCUCCCCACAAUGAGGCAGUGACCUCACAUUUGGUGGCAGCCCUGACUGCAAGUCCAGACAUGGA